UUCUUCCCUAUAUAAGCCCUUUCUCCAGAUAUUUAUUAACGUCUCUCUCUCUCUAUCUGCUCUGCUCUGAUAUAAGCCCGUUCAGUUGCGCUUCUCUGACCGCUCUCUCCAUCUCUAUCAAACCUCUUUUACUGUUAGAUCUUAAGUUGGCAAUUAUAAUCAUUUGUAAUCACGAUCUUAGCAAUUAUGGAAAAGCCAUCGCUUCGUUUUUCAGGUAGAUGUUGAAAGUCGGCAUGGAUGUGAAUAUGAAGUUAGCAUCUCAUUGCUGAUGCUUUUGCAAUGCAUAUUGAUACAGCUUUUAGGAAAUUAGGACUUGGAAUCCUGAUUGGAACUUAUGCUAUAGUUCUAACGAGAUGCUCGAGUAUUUGUGUACUGUUUUAAGUAAGUGCCAUAGACAUGAGCAGUGGAUGUCAUGAUGGUGGCAUUAGCAUCUGAGGACAAAUCUCAGUAUAUGCUAAAUCAUGGCAGCACGGAGCAGUCAUAUUUGGGUUAAAAGGCACCUGAUUAAGGGGGACCAAGAGCUGCUUUUGUGAUCAAUCUUACCAGAAAAUACAGAACCACCAUUUCCAGAUCUCCUUGCUCUAACUGAACUAUUAUGGCACUCUGUCAGAUAAAAAUCCCCUGAACACAGGAAGAGUUUCUGUGCUAUGCUGAGAUCUAAUGCAGCUAUACAAGAGACUGGUACCUCACUUCAGUUUGGCAGUAGUAUCAGGGCCAUGUAACUUCUAAAAAUGUGAAGCUUCUCAUAGUCCAAAGAACACACACCUUCUGACUUCUGUUUCCCCUGCACCAAUUGCAAAGAAGGAUUAGAUGAUUAGUCUUGAAAUAGUGGAAAGAUGACAUGACUAAGCUAAGAUUCGUGACAGUCUUAUAGAGCUGGAUACUGUUGUUUGAACCAGAGACCUUCAACCAGUGCUAUCCCAGAAUGUCAUUAUGAUAAUGCAACGAGUGGCCAAGUUUGUAACAGCUCCAUGUUUGUUGUCAUCUUGGUAUAAAGUUUAGCAUCCUCAGUUUUACUAUCUUCUGUUCUAGAAGAUAAUUCUUUAGAGACUUCAACUUGCAACAUCAAUAGUGCCACAUUCAAAACUGAUUAGCUGGGAUAUGAUUAGAGGGUAAAUAUAAGAGUAUAAUUCCACUGUUAAGGAAAUGGAGUGACCCUAAUGGUCAUAAUCCAGGAUAACUGCUGCGAAAUAUUGUCGGAUGCCUUUUAGUUCCUAGAGGAAAAGUGCUAAGCGCCAGAAUGACUUAAAAGCUCUUAAAUUCUCGGACAGUCGUUUGAUCCUUCGAACUAUUAACUGUCAAGAACUUCCAUGUUUCUAAAAGCAGUUUGAGCUUCUUUAUCUUAGCAUUUGUGUGUAGUCAUCGCCAGGAUUUGCAGUAUGAAGACAGCAGAUGGGUCUAAAAGAAUAGACUUGUCAAUAUAAGAGUGUUGUUCCUCAUUUGCUACUUUUUGUCGGGCACAGGUCAUGAAAUGAUAUUCCCAUUGAUUCCAAAAUGCUAUUGAUAAAUGCAGUCACUGCAUAAGGUUCUUGAUUGGCGCAUCUAAAGUGUGUGUAUCUCUUCUGUGGGAGGAAAUUAAUUUGUCCAGAGUCCUUGUUCCAAUUGCUAGACCUGCAUUAGUUCAUCAAACUUCCUGCCCUGUGCUAGCAUGAAUAUCUACUCCCUCUCUGAGGUGCCCUACAAUGUAUACCUAAAUGACAAAGCCAAAGUCUUUCGCGCUAAAGAUGAAAUUAUCUUGUUUUCAAACAGUUUAGAGCUUUUUUACAGGGAAUGUCUUGACAACUCUUUUCACUUACCAGUUUAUAGAUGUCGCAAGCCUUUUUCAUAUGUGCUUUUUUGUUGUUGUUUCAGUUCCCAUACCGAAAUAAAGUGGAGUUGCAGAAGUAACCCUAUAAAAUAUGCUUCCUUGAUGAGCCAUUAAGCCAUUUGGGAUGCUUUCUUCUUAUUAUUAAAAAGUCUUCCUACUUGGCACCACCUCUGUAGCUAUGUUGUGCUUCCAGUAGUGGAAGAUAUGCAUGUUCCCGCUCUUCUAGAUCUUCUUCUGAUUGCCACAACACUAAUGGAAUUAUAUUUGCCCUUUCCAUUAAUGGAAUUCAUCAUAGGUUCCAUCUUUAGUUCAUUCCUCCAUUUCUCCAAAUAGCCGGGGUGGAAUGGAGAUGGUAGAACAGGUAUCAGCUAAUGAGGAUCUCCAUUCUCUCUGCCCAUUUGGUUGUGGAAUUGAUUGACGCAUCCUUUCAUGCAUGUGCAUGUUCUUCUCCUCAAUAUUAGAAUCAUAAUCCAACGAUCCAGGGAUCCAAGUUCAUGGAAUCAAUCCAGAUCACGGGUACAACUAAGAGAGGUUGAAUUGGAAUAUUGUGUAGCUGCUGGCAUCCAAGUUCUGUAGAAUUGGGAUCCAAGUUCAUGGUAUCAUUCCAUUUUUAUUAAUUUUGAAAGUAUAAAUUGUCCUUGAGAAUUCUCUUGUCAUGCUAGUGGUCUGCUGGCAGCAUUACUAUACUGCCUAUAGAUUCUAGACUUUCUGUGCUCCUGGGAGGGCUUCACACCGACGACCUAUUAUUUUGCUUAAGCUUGUUACUAACAAUUCAAGUAUCUUUUUACGUCUUGUUGAAGAACUUCU